AGUGAACGCUGGCGGUAGGCCUAACACAUGCAAGUCGAACGGCAGCACAGUAAGAGCUUGCUCUUACGGGUGGCGAGUGGCGGACGGGUGAGGAAUACAUCGGAAUCUACUUUUCGUGGGGGAUAACGUAGGGAAACUUACGCUAAUACCGCAUACGACCUACGGGUGAAAGCAGGGGAUCUUCGGACCUUGCGCGAUUGAAUGAGCCGAUGUCGGAUUAGCUAGUUGGCGGGGUAAAGGCCCACCAAGGCGACGAUCCGUAGCUGGUCUGAGAGGAUGAUCAGCCACACUGGAACUGAGACACGGUCCAGACUCCUACGGGAGGCAGCAGUGGGGAAUAUUGGACAAUGGGCGCAAGCCUGAUCCAGCCAUACCGCGUGGGUGAAGAAGGCCUUCGGGUUGUAAAGCCCUCUUGUUGGGAAAGAAAAGCAGCAGGUUAAUACCCCGCUGUUCUGACGGUACCCAAAGAAUAAGCACCGGCUAACUUCGUG
rnacentral:rRNA from 1 species